rnacentral:lncRNA from 1 species
UGACGACUAAAUAGUUUAUUGUAGCAUUAUUUAUAUUCAAUUUUAAUAGUGUAUUUAAUGUGUAAAAAUAGUGAUAAACUUAAAAGAAAUUUUUUAAAACAGUUUUAAAAUUUAUAAGUUGAAUUAUUGAAUAUAAAAAAAUUGGAAAGACUAACUAUAAAAAUAUAAUUUACAAAACACCAUUAAAAUUCAUAUAAGGAUACAGAGGAGUUUAUGUUGCAAAUUUCCCCUCCAAAAAUUUUACUUUAUUUUC